rnacentral:rRNA from 1 species
UAGAGUUUGAUCAUGGCUCAGGAUGAUCGCUGGCGGCGUGCCUAAUACAUGCAAGUCGAACGCACAGCGAAAGGUGCUUGCACCUUUCAAGUGGGUGGCGAACGGGUGAGUAACACGUGGACAACCUGCCUCAAGGCUGGGGAUAACAUUUGGAAACAGAUGCUAAUACCGAAUAAAACUUAGUGUCGCAUGACACAAAGUUAAAAGGCGCUUCGGCGUCACCUAGAGAUGGAUCCGCGGUGCAUUAGUUAGUUGGUGGGGUAAAGGCCUACCAAGACAAUGAUGCAUAGCCGAGUUGAGAGACUGAUCGGCCACAUUGGGACUGAGACACGGCCCAAACUCCUACGGGAGGCUGCAGUAGGGAAUCUUCCACAAUGGGCGAAAGCCUGAUGGAGCAACGCCGCGUGUGUGAUGAAGGCUUUCGGGUCGUAAAGCACUGUUGUAUGGGAAGAACAGCUAGAAUAGGAAAUGAUUUUAGUUUGACGGUACCAUACCAGAAAGGGACGGCUAAAUACGUGCCAGCAGCCGCGGUAAUACGUAUGUCCCGAGCGUUAUCCGGAUUUAUUGGGCGUAAAGCGAGCGCAGACGGUUUAUUAAGUCUGAUGUGAAAGCCCGGAGCUCAACUCCGGAAUGGCAUUGGAAACUGGUUAACUUGAGUGCAGUAGAGGUAAGUGGAACUCCAUGUGUAGCGGUGGAAUGCGUAGAUAUAUGGAAGAACACCAGUGGCGAAGGCGGCUUACUGGACUGCAACUGACGUUGAGGCUCGAAAGUGUGGGUAGCAAACAGGAUUAGAUACCCUGGUAGUCCACACCGUAAACGAUGAACACUAGGUGUUAGGAGGUUUCCGCCUCUUAGUGCCGAAGCUAACGCAUUAAGUGUUCCGCCUGGGGAGUACGACCGCAAGGUUGAAACUCAAAGGAAUUGACGGGGACCCGCACAAGCGGUGGAGCAUGUGGUUUAAUUCGAAGCAACGCGAAGAACCUUACCAGGUCUUGACAUCCUUUGAAGCUUUUAGAGAUAGAAGUGUUCUCUUCGGAGACAAAGUGACAGGUGGUGCAUGGUCGUCGUCAGCUCGUGUCGUGAGAUGUUGGGUUAAGUCCCGCAACGAGCGCAACCCUUAUUGUUAGUUGCCAGCAUUCAGAUGGGCACUCUAGCGAGACUGCCGGUGACAAACCGGAGGAAGGCGGGGACGACGUCAGAUCAUCAUGCCCCUUAUGACCUGGGCUACACACGUGCUACAAUGGCGUAUACAACGAGUUGCCAGCCCGCGAGGGUGAGCUAAUCUCUUAAAGUACGUCUCAGUUCGGAUUGUAGUCUGCAACUCGACUACAUGAAGUCGGAAUCGCUAGUAAUCGCGGAUCAGCACGCCGCGGUGAAUACGUUCCCGGGUCUUGUACACACCGCCCGUCACACCAUGGGAGUUUGUAAUGCCCAAAGCCGG